UAUGGUCCUUGGAAGAAGAAAAAUCUUGCUGAUUUUGGAAUUGUCACCCAGUGCUCCGCCCCUCAAAGGGUCAAUGACCAAUAUUUGACUAAUCUUCUCUUGAAGAUUAAUGCAAAGCUGGGUGGGUUAAAUUCUUUGUUAGCAGUUGAACAUACUCCUUCCAUUCCACUGGUUUCUAAGGUUCCUACAAUCAUCCUUGGGAUGGAUGUGUCACACGGCUCUCCUGGGCAUUCUGAUGUCCCAUCGAUUGCUGCGGUGGUCAGUUCCAGGAAUUGGCCAUUGAUUUCUCGUUAUAGGGCAUCUGUUCGCACACAGUCUCCUAAGGUGGAAAUGAUAGAUUCUCUUUAUAAACGUGUGUCUGACACCGAGGACGAGGGAAUGAUCAGGGAGCUUCUGUUGGAUUUUUAUAAUAGUUCGGGUAAAAGGAAACCAGAACAGAUCAUCAUAUUCAGGGAUGGCGUCAGUGAAUCUCAAUU
rnacentral:misc_RNA from 1 species